UUUAAAAAAAUAACAAUAAAAAAAAGAAUAUUGGCAGUUUUACUAAAAAUGAUGGGCUCAAUCGUUGUCGGAGUUGUGACACUCUGCCACCGUCAGCGGGGGGAGCUAGCGAACCAGCCCGCGGGAGAAGCUAACGAGCCGGCCGGCCAGAUCAUCUCACAGAGCCUUCAGCAGACCUGCAGACCACUGCAGCCAACACGGCAGAGUCCAGCAACAACGGCAGAGUAAAGACCCACAGCUUGUGACGCUAACAACACAAGCUGACCAUUUCUACUAUGAAGAGGACUCACCCACGAGCUCAAGAGGAUCAAGACAACAUUUUGUCUUCCAGGCCCUAAAAAAUGGAGUCAACAUAGUGAGCUGUUUUUCUCAAUUUCUGCUUUAUCCACAGUAUGUUCCCAUAUUCACUUGAGACUAAUUAAUUAUUUUUCCUUAUCAUUUUGUACAAUACUAACACUAUAUCAAUGUGUUAGAUCUGGCAUGUUCAUUUAAUAAAAGUUUUCAAAGACA